AUUGAACGCUGGCGGCAGGCCUAACACAUGCAAGUCGAACGAGUGGCGGACGGGUGUGUAAUGUCUGUGAAACUGCCCGUCGGAGGGGGAUAACUACUGGAAACGGUAUCUAAUACCGCAUACCCUCUGAUGUGCCCAGAUAGGGUAAGCUUGUAGGUGCGGUAACGGCUCACCUAGGCGACGAUCACUAGCUGGUCUGAGAGGAUGACCAGUGACAAUGGAACUGAGUCACGGUCCAGAAUACUACGGGAGGCAGAAGUGGGGAAUAUUGCACAAUGGGGGCAAGCCUGAUGCAGCCCUGCUGCGAGUAUGCAUAAGGACAGCGGGUUGUAAUGUACUUUCAGCGGGGAGGCGGUACCCGCAGAGGAAGCACCGGCUAACUCCGUGCCAGCAGCCGCGGUAAUAC
rnacentral:rRNA from 1 species